rnacentral:rRNA from 1 species
GAUUUUAAGCUUCCUACGGGAGGCUGCAGUGGGGAAUCUUGCGCCAUGGGUGAAAGCCUGACGCAGCCAUGCCGCGUGAAUGAUGAAGGUCUUAGGAUUGUAAAAUUCUUUCACCGGGGACGAUAAUGACGGUACCCGGAGAAGAAGCCCCGGCUAACUUCGUGCCAGCAGCCGCGGUAAUACGAAGGGGGCUAGCGUUGCUCGGAAUUACUGGGCGUAAAGGGAGCGUAGGCGGACAUUUAAGUCAGGGGUGAAAUCCCGGGGCUCAACCUCGGAAUUGCCUUUGAUACUGGGUGUCUUGAGUAUGAGAGAGGUGUGUGGAACUCCGAGUGUAGAGGUGAAAUUCGUAGAUAUUCGGAAGAACACCAGUGGCGAAGGCGACACACUGGCUCAUUACUGACGCUGAGGCUCGAAAGCGUGGGGAGCAAACAGGAUUAGAUACCCUUGUAGUCGAAUUCUU